CACGUUUUUAGAACUCCACAAACAUCAACUUACAGACACCAUUAGGGCUGCACGAUAUAUCAAAGAAAUAUCGUUUUUGCAAUAAUGGUCAAUGCGAUAUCCUUAUCGCAAAGUUGCGUGAUAAUUUUAUCAUUAUUUAGAUGUAUAAAUCAUUUUUUUUGCAUGCACAGACGUUUACUUGUGACCAACUGAGAGCGACCUUAAACCCCCUCCCCCCUCCCUGAAUAGCACUUUUGCUACCAGCGCCUCUUUACCUCUUCUGUCCCUCUCAACCCGCCUAACCAGCAGCAGAUGGUUCCCCCACAUAAAGAGCCAGGUUCUGCUCAAGGUUUUGUUCCCUGUUAAAAGGGUGUUAUCUUUGCCACUGUCGCCUUUGGGCUGCUCUGGGGGUUCAGACAUAUGGGUUCUGUAAAACAUCAUGAAACAAUUUCACUGUAAUUGGCACUAUAUAAAUAAAAUUGAAUUAAAUUGGUUAUGUCCUUGA